rnacentral:rRNA from 1 species
AUGGCAAUUGUCCAUACCUACGGGAAGCCUGACAUCUUCUUGACCAUGACCUGCAACCCUAACUGGGAAGAGAUAACGAAUGAGUUGUUUCCUGGUCAGACAGCGCAAGACCGACCUGAUCUUUUGGCUCGUGUGUUCCAUGGCAAGCUAGAGGCUAUGAAAGAGAUGUUGUUCAAGAAGAAUAUCCUGGGUGUUGUUGUUGCACAUGUAUACGUAGUCGAGUUCCAAAAGAGGGGCCUCCCCCUCGCACACUUUUUGUUGAUCAUGGAUUCUGCCUAUAAGCUUGUCGUUCCAGAUCAGUACGACUGA